rnacentral:rRNA from 1 species
GAGUUUGAUCCUGGCUCAGAACGAACGCUGACGGUGCGUUUUAAGCAUGCAAGUCGAACGGUAUGAGAGUGCUUGCAUUUUCAUAGAGUGGCGGACUGGUGAGUAACGCGUGAGUGACCUACCUUUGAGAUGGGGAUAGCUGUUAGAAAUAGCAGGUAAUACCGAAUGUGUUUAUAUAGAUUAGGCUGUAUAAAGAAAGGAGCUAUAGCUCCGCUCAAAGACGGGCUCGCGUCCCAUUAGCUGGUUGGUGAGGUAAAGGCUUACCAAGGCGACGAUGGGUAUCCGGCCUGAGAGGGUGGACGGACACAUUGGGACUGAGAUACGGCCCAAACUCCUACGGGAGGCAGCAGCUAAGAAUCUUCCGCAAUGGGCGAAAGCCUGACGGAGCGACACCGUGUGAAUGAAGAAGGCUGAAAAGUUGUAAAAUUCUUUUGCAGAUGAAGAAUAAGGAUAAGAGGGAAUGCUUAUCUGAUGACUGUAAUUAUGCGAAUAAGCCCCGG